rnacentral:tRNA from 1 species
UAGGCGGCGGGUUGUAAACCCGCGUACAGGGCGCAGGAGCCCUUGGUGCCAA